GACAGAGGGUGCAAACGUUGUUCGGAAUUACUGGGCGUAAAGCGCGUGUAGGCGGCCCUGCAAGUCGGAUGUGAAAUCCCACGGCUCAACCGUGGAAGUGCAUUCGAAACUGCAGGGCUAGAGUCCUGGAGAGGAAGGUGGAAUGCUUGGUGUAGAGGUGAAAUGCGCAGAUAUCAGGAAGAACACCCGUGGCGAAAGCGGCUCUCUGGAACGGUACUGACGCUGAGACGCGAAAGCGUGGGGAGCGAACAGG
rnacentral:rRNA from 1 species